rnacentral:rRNA from 1 species
UACGGAGGAUCCGAGCGUUAUCCGGAUUUAUUGGGUUUAAAGGGUGCGUAGGCGGCCUGUUAAGUCAGGGGUGAAAGACGGUAGCUCAACUAUCGCAGUGCCCUUGAUACUGACGGGCUUGAAUGGACUAGAGGUGGGCGGAAUGGGACAAGUAGCGGUGAAAUGCAUAGAUAUGUCUCAGAACACCGAUUGCGAAGGCAGCUCACUAUGGUUCUAUUGACGCUGAGGCACGAAAGCGUGGGGAUCGAACAGG